AUCACUUCUCGGCCUUUUGGCUAAGCUCAAGUGUAGUAUAUGUUCUAAUCAGACUGAUAUCUGCCACGUCCUCUAUCUGAACACAGUAUACUAAACGGUUUUUGGAGCAGGGAGUUGGAAUAGGCGCUUGCUCCGUCCACUCCGUGCACUGGCCUGGUAUUGCAGUACCUCCAGGAGCAAUGCACCAAAA
rnacentral:snRNA from 1 species